rnacentral:rRNA from 1 species
GACGAACGCUGGCGGCGUGCUUAACACAUGCAAGUCGAACGGAAAGGCCCUGCUUUUGUGGGGUGCUCGAGUGGCUAACGGGUGAGUAACACGUGAGUAACCUGCCCUUGACUUUGGGAUAACUUCAGGAAACUGGGGCUAAUACCGGAUAGGAGCUCCUGCUGCAUGGUGGGGGUUGGAAAGUUUCGGCGGUUGGGGAUGGACUCGCGGCUUAUCAGCUUGUUGGUGGGGUAGUGGCUUACCAAGGCUUUGACGGGUAGCCGGCCUGAGAGGGUGACCGGCCACAUUGGGAAUGAGAUACGGCCCAGACUCCUACGGGAGGCAGCAGUGGGGAAUAUUGCACAAUGGGCGGAAGCCUGAUGCAGCAACGCCGCGUGCGGGAUGACGGCCUUCGGGUUGUAAACCGCUUUCGCCUGUGACGAAGCGUGAGUGACGGUAAUGGGUAAAGAAGCACCGGCUAACUACGUG